rnacentral:rRNA from 1 species
UGCCCUACGGGGGGCAGCAGUGAGGAGUAUUGGUCAAUGGGCGGAAGCCUGAACCAGCCAAGUCGCGUGAGGGAAUAAGGCCCUACGGGUCGUAAACCUCUUUUGCCGGGGAGCAAGGGCCGGGACGAGUCCCGGUCCGGAGAGUACCCGGAGAAAAAGCAUCGGCUAACUCCGUGCCAACAGCCGCGGUAAUACGGAGGAUGCGAGCGUUAUCCGGAUUUAUUGGGUUUAAAGGGUGCGUAGGCGGGCUUUUAAGUCGGCGGUAAAAAUUCGGGGCUCAACCCCGUCCGGCCGUUGAAAUUGGG